rnacentral:rRNA from 1 species
CUCUGAUUCCAGGAGCCCGUGAAAAGGGUGAUACGGUCCGUACCGAGAACUGACACAGGUGCCCCUCGCUAAGAAGGCGAAGGCGUGUCGGGAGUAAAUGUGUUAAGGGAACUCGGCAAAUUAGCCCUGUAACUUUGGGAUAAGGGGUGCCUGCCCAGCGAUUGGGCAGGUCGCAGUGACAAGAUCGCUCCGACUGUCUAAUAACAACAUAGCAGACUGCAACUCCGAAAGGACUCGUAUAGUCUGUGAUUCCUGCCCAGUGCGAGUAUCUGAACACCGGGUUCAACCGGACGAAGGACUCGUAAACGGCGGGGGUAACUAUGACCCUCUUAAGGUAGCGUAGUACCUUGUCGCUUAAUUGGCGACUUGCAUGAAUGGAAUAACGAGAGCGAUACUGUCCCUAACACAUACCCGUUGAACCUUUUGUACUAGUGCAGAGACUAGUGACUCCUUAUGGGAAGUGAAGACCCCGUGGAGCUUUACUGCAGCCUGUCGUUGGGUUACGGUAUUACCUGCGCAGGGUAGAUGGGAGACGUCGAUCCAACCCUUGUGGGGGUUGGUUAGUCAACGAUGAGACACCAACCUGGUUUUAUUGUAAUUCUAACUGAUUUAUCAGGACAUCGAUAGGUAGGCAGUUUGGGUGGGGCGCCACACCCUCGAAAAAAAAUAUCAAGGGUGCCCUAAGGUCAACUCAAGCGGGUCAGAAACCCGCUGAAGAGUGUCAAGAGCAAAAGUUGGCCUGACGCGAUUUCGCAUAGCAAGAAAUCGCGAGAGGAAACUCGGGUCUAACGAACCAAUACGCCCUGUUGAUGAGGGCUAUUGACUACAGAAAAGCUACCCCGGGGAUAACAGAGUCGUCGCCGGCAAGAGCACAUAUCGACCCGGCGGCUUGCUACCUCGAUGUCGGUUCUCUCCAUCCUGGCUGUGCAGCAGCAGCCAAGGGUGAGGUUGUUCGCCUAUUAAAGGGGAUCGUGAGCUGGGUUUAGACCGUCGUGAGACAGGUCGGUUACUAUCUAUAAGGAGUGUUGGAAGUCUGAAGGCAAGAAUGAAAUAGUACGAGAGGAACUUUCAUUCGGCGCCACUGGUCUACCGGUUGUCUGACAAGGCACCGCCGGGCAGCUACGCGCCAAGAGAUAAAAGCUGAAAGCAUCUAAGCUUGAAACUCAGCCUGAACAAGAGACUUCAUUAAAGACACGGGUAAAAGACCCGGUUGAUAGGUUCGGGAUGUACGCACGAAGGCAACGACGUGUUCAGUCCGCGAAUACUAAUUGUCUUAAUAACGUU